rnacentral:rRNA from 1 species
GAUGAACGCUGGCGGCGUGCCUAAUACAUGCAAGUCGAGCGAACAGACGAGGAGCUUGCUCCUCUGACGUUAGCGGCGGACGGGUGAGUAACACGUGGAUAACCUACCUAUAAGACUGGGAUAACUUCGGGAAACCGGAGCUAAUACUGGAUAAUAUAUUGAACCGCAUGGUUCAAUAGUGAAAGACGGUUUUGCUGUCACUUAUAGAUGGAUCCGCGCCGCAUUAGCUAGUUGGUAAGGUAACGGCUUACCAAGGCAACGAUGCGUAGCCGACCUGAGAGGGUGAUCAGCCACACUGGAACUGAGACACGGUCCAGACUCCUACGGGAGGCAGCAGUAGGGAAUCUUCCGCAAUGGGCGAAAGCCUGACGGAGCAACGCCGCGUGAGUGAUGAAGGUCUUCGGAUCGUAAAACUCUGUUAUUAGGGAAGAACAAAUGUGUAAGUAACUAUGCACGUCUUGACGGUACCUAAUCAGAAAGCCACGGCUAACUACGUG